UACUCGUUGCAUGCCGUUCGUGCAACGGUCUCGUUUGCAUCUCUCGGCUCAAUUACAGGAUCCGUCAGUCGUGCUGCGCGAUCAUCGCGCGCAAUGGUGUUUUGUUGUGGUUGGGGUAAUAUUUCGACUUGCAGUGAUGUCGACCACGAUGUGACUGCAUUUUUCCAACCUCGGCGAUACGUUCAAAGAGUGACACUCCGGUCCGGGCGCGCUCGGCGCCCACGCUGAUCCUAACCGAGGUGCGCCGAAUGAUGAAGGCUGAACGAUGCUCCGGUGAGACAAAUUAAUUGAAAUGCGCAAGCGAAUAUAACAUUCUGAACGAAACAAUGAAGAGUCCUUUGGAAAUUCACCGAAUGAGAAAAUAAACACCAUGCAACAUCCCAAAAAAGCUGUAUUGCUAAUGUAUCAAUUGUUCUAUACAUUUGAUGCAGAAGUCAC
rnacentral:misc_RNA from 1 species